rnacentral:rRNA from 1 species
UACGUAGGGACCGAGCGUUGUCCGGAAUCAUUGGGCGUAAAGCGCGUGUAGGCGGUUCGGUAAGUCUGCUGUGAAAGUCCAGGGCUCAACCCUGGGAUGCCGGUGGAUACUGUCGGGCUAGAGUGCGGAAGAGGCGAGUGGAAUUCCCGGUGUAGCGGUGAAAUGCGCAGAUAUCGGGAGGAACACCAAUUGCGAAGGCAGCUUGCUGGGACGUAACUGACGCUGAGACGCGAAAGCGUGGGGAGCGAACAGG